AUCUUCAACUACACACACAAACAGCUCUUAUAAUGGAAAUAGAAAAAACGCCUAAAGUCUACUCAACAAUAGAUAUCAACUAGCAAAUACUAGCACAAACACACACACAGAGAAAAUGAAUAUAAAUGCAAGUCUUCUUUACCCUAAGAACUUGGGGUUCUAGUCCAACAUAAUAGUAGCACGGACAAAAACAGUAACAGGCCAAUCAAGAAACCUUAUCGUCCAUACAAAGGUUCAUCAUAACCAAUGUAUAUGAGAGAUUCAGGAUUGAG